AAUCAACGCUGGCGGCGUGCCUAACACAUGCAAGUCGAACGCGAAAGGGGCUUCGGCCCUGAGUAGAGUGGCGAACGGGUGAGUAACACGUGGGUGAUCUGCCUCUGAGUGGGGGAUAACGUUCCGAAAGGAGCGCUAAUACCGCAUGAUGUUCCGGGUUUGAAGACCUGGAAACCAAAGCCGGGGACCGCAAGGCCUGGCGCUUGGAGAGGAGCCCGCGCCUGAUUAGCUAGUUGGUGAGGUCACGGCUCACCAAGGCGACGAUCAGUAGCCGGCCUGAGAGGGCGGACGGCCACACUGGGACUGAGACACGGCCCAGACUCCUACGGGAGGCAGCAGUGGGGAAUUGUUCGCAAUGGGCGCAAGCCUGACGACGCAACGCCGCGUGGAGGAUGAAGGUCUUCGGAUUGUAAACUCCUGUUGACCGGGAAGAAUGGGCUCCGACUGAAUACGUCGGGGCAAUGACGGUACCGGUUGAGGAAGCCACGGCUAACUCUGUGCC
rnacentral:rRNA from 1 species